rnacentral:pre_miRNA from 1 species
UAAAUGAACCAGCUUAGAUGGGUGAAAAUUUAGGCAGACUAUAUAUUAUAUAGUCUGCCUAAAUUUUCACCCAUCUAAGUAUUAGUUUAAA